rnacentral:rRNA from 1 species
AUUCCAGCUCCAAUAGCGUAUAUUUAAGUUGUUGCGGUUAAAAAGCUCGUAGUUGGAUUCCGGGCGUGGAGGUUCGGUCCGCCGUUUCGGUGUGCACUGUCUUUCUGCGUCUUUCUGUCGGGGACGCGCUUCUGGCCUUAAUUGGCUGGGACGUGGAUUCGACGAGGUUACCUUGAAAAAAUUAGAGUGUUCAAAGCAAGCUAAAGCUCUGAAUACAUUAGCAUGGAAUAACGCGAGAGGACUCGGUCCUUAUUUUGUUGGUCUUCAAGGAUGGAGUAAUGAUUAAGAGGGACAGUUGGGGGCAUUCGUAUUUCAUUGCUAGAGGUGAAAUUCUUGGAUUUAUGAAAGACGAACUUCUGCGAAAGCAUUUGCCAAGGAUGUUUUCAUCG